CCUACGGGAGGCAGCAGUAAGGAAUAUUGGUCAAUGGAGGCAACUCUGAACCAGCCAUGCCGCGUGCAGGAAGACAGCCCUCUGGGUCGUAAACUGCUUUUAUUCGGGAAUAAACCUCAUUACGUGUAAUGAGCUGAAUGUACCGAAGGAAUAAGGAUCGGCUAACUCCGUGCCAGCAGCCGCGGUAAUACGGAGGAUCCAAGCGUUAUCCGGAUUUAUUGGGUUUAAAGGGUGCGUAGGCGGCUUUUUAAGUCAGGGGUGAAAGACGGUAGCUCCACUAUCGCAGUGCCCUUGAUACUGAAGAGCUUGAAUGGACUAGAGGUAGGCGGAAUGUGACAAGUAGCGGUGAAAUGCAUAGAUAUGUCACAGAACACCGAUUGCGAAGGCAGCUUACUAUGGUUUUAUUGACGCUGAGGCACGAAAGCGUGGGGAUCAAACAGGAUUAGAUACCCUGGUAGUCCACGCCCUAAACGAUGAAUACUCGCUGUUAGCGAUACACAGUUAGCGGCUAAGCGAAAGCGUUAAGUAUUCCACCUGGGGAGUACGGUCGCAAGNUGAACUGAAGAUUGACGCGUGAGAGNGCGACGACGACGACGAGGGAGGAGG
rnacentral:rRNA from 1 species